AGGAGGAACAGCCCCAGUGGCGGGGCAGCUCUGGAAACCUGGAUUCAGCUCAGGCAGGAACUCCGUCUGCAGGGCCUGGAGGCUCCGGGGCGGG
rnacentral:pre_miRNA from 1 species